UACGUAGGGUGCGAGCGUUGUCCGGAAUUAUUGGGCGUAAAGAGCUCGUAGGCGGUGUGUCACGUCGGCCGUGAAAACCUGCAGCUUAACUGUGGGCGUGCGGUCGAUACGGGCAUCACUGGAGUUCGGCAGGGGAGACUGGAAUUCCAGGUGUAGCGGUGAAAUGCGUAGAUAUCUGGAGGAACACCGGUGGCGAAGGCGGCAUCCUGGACCGGUAUUGACGCUGAGGCGCGAAAGCCAGGGGAGCAAACGGG
rnacentral:rRNA from 1 species